UACGGAGGGUGCAAGCGUUAUCCGGAUUCACUGGGUUUAAAGGGUGCGUAGGCGGGCAGGUAAGUCAGUGGUGAAAUCCCCGAGCUUAACUUGGGAACUGCCGUUGAUACUAUCUGUCUUGAAUACUGUGGAGGUAAGCGGAAUAUGUCAUGUAGCGGUGAAAUGCUUAGAUAUGACAUAGAACACCAAUUGCGAAGGCAGCUUACUACACAGUAAUUGACACUGAGGCACGAAAGCGUGGGGAUCAAACAGG
rnacentral:rRNA from 1 species